GACGAACGCUGGCGGCGUGCCUAAUACAUGCAAGUAGAACGCUGAAGGAGGAGCUUGCUUCUCUGGAUGAGUUGCGAACGGGUGAGUAACGCGUAGGUAACCUGCCUGGUAGCGGGGGAUAACUAUUGGAAACGAUAGCUAAUACCGCAUAAGAGUAGAUGUUGCAUGACAUUUGCUUAAAAGGUGCAAUUGCAUCACUACCAGAUGGACCUGCGUUGUAUUAGCUAGUUGGUGGGGUAACGGCUCACCAAGGCGACGAUACAUAGCCGACCUGAGAGGGUGAUCGGCCGCACUGGGACUGAGACACGGCCCAGACUCCUACGGGAGGCAGCAGUAGGGAAUCUUCGGCAAUGGACGGAAGUCUGACCGAGCAACGCCGCGUGAGUGAAGAAGGUUUUCGGAUCGUAAAGCUCUGUUGUAAGAGAAGAACGAGUGUGAGAGUGGAAAGUUCACACUGUGACGGUAUCUUACCAGAAAGGGACGGCUAACUACGUG
rnacentral:rRNA from 1 species